GAAUAUUGGACAAUGGGCGAAAGCCUGAUCCAGCAAUGCCGCGUGUGUGAAGAAGGCCUGCGGGUUGUAAAGCACUUUCAGUAGAGAAGAAAAGCCUACGGUUAAUACCCGUGAGUCUUGACGUAACCUACAGAAGAAGCACCGGCUAACUCUGUGCCAGCAGCCGCGGUAAUACAGAGGGUGCGAGCGUUAAUCGGAAUUACUGGGCGUAAAGCGAACGUAGGCGGCGCUGCAAGUCGGGUGUGAAAUCCCCGGGCUCAACCUGGGAACUGCAUUCGAUACUGCAUUGCUGGAGUAUGGGAGAGGGAAGUGGAAUUUCCGGUGUAGCGGUGAAAUGCGUAGAUAUCGGAAGGAACACCAGUGGCGAAAGCGACUUCCUGGACCAAUACUGACGCUCAGGUGCGAAAGCGUGGGGAGCAAACAGG
rnacentral:rRNA from 1 species